GUUUAGCCCAGAUAGCAGUGGAAAUCUCCCGAUUUUUCAUCGGGAAUUGCAACGAAUAGCUGGAAAUAGC
rnacentral:sRNA from 1 species